GACGAACGCUGGCGGCGUGCUUAACACAUGCAAGUGGAGCGACGAACCGGGGCUUGCCCCGGGGCAGAGCCGCGAACGGGUGAGUAACACGUGGGUAACCUGCCUCAAUGAUUGGGACAACCCGGGGAAACUCGGGCUAAUACCAAAUGUGUUCACUCCUUCUAAAGGGGAGUGAGGAAAGGAAGCUUCGGCCUCCGCAUUGAGAUGGGCCCGCGGCCCAUUAGCUUGUUGGUGAGGUAACGGCUCACCAAGGCUUCGAUGGGUAGCUGGUCUGAGAGGACGAUCAGCCACACUGGGACUGAGACACGGCCCAGACUCCUACGGGAGGCAGCAGUGGGAAUCUUGCACAAUGCGCGAAAGCGUGAUGCAGCAACGCCGCGUGGGGGAA
rnacentral:rRNA from 1 species